GGAGAAAUGGCAGAGCGGUUGAUUGCAGCAGUCUUGAAAACUGCCGACUGUAAUAGGUCCGGGGGUUCGAAUCCCUCUUUCUCCG
rnacentral:tRNA from 1 species